rnacentral:rRNA from 1 species
UGAGGAAUAUUGCACAGUGGGCGCAAGCUGAUGCAGCAACGCCGCGUGAGGGACGAAGGCCUUCGGGUCGUAAACCUCUUUUCUGGGGGACGAGUAAGGACGGUACCCCAGGAAUAAGUCUCGGCUAACUACGUGCCAGCAGCCGCGGUAAAACGUAGGAGGCGAGCGUUAUCCGGAUUUACUGGGCGUAAAGCGUACGCAGGUGGCUUCGUUAGUCGGACAUGAAAGCUCCUGGCUUAACUGGGAGAGGUUGUUCGAUACUGCGGGGCUUGAGGCUGGGAGAGGGACGUGGAAUUCCCGGUGUAGUGGUGGAAUGCGUAGAUAUCGGGAGGAACACCAGUGGCGCAAGCGGCGUCCUGGCCCACACCUGACGCUGAGGUACGAAAGCGUGGGUAGCAAACAG